ACACACGUGUUACAAUGGGGGGUACAGAGGGCCGCUACCACGCGAGUGGAUGCCAAUCCCUAAAACCCCUCUCAGUUCGGACUGGAGUCUGCAACCCGACUCCACGAAGCUGGAUUCGCUAGUAAUCGCGCAUCAGCCACGGCGCGGUGAAUACGUUCCCGGGCCUUGUACACACCGCCCGUCAAGCCAUGGGAGCCGGGGGUACCUGAAGUGCGUAACCGCGAGGAUCGCCCUAGGGUAAAACUGGUGACUGGGGCUAAGUCGUAACAAGGUAAC
rnacentral:rRNA from 1 species